GGUGUAAAGACUAGAGCUGGCCGCAGCGAUUAAUUCAUUGCUAUCUGAGGUCACGGUUUUGUGUCGUAGUAGUCAUGCCCUGCAGAAGAUAAUCUUCAGCUCUGCAUCAGUCCUGACGUUCUGAAAGAGGAACGCAGCACUGUGCGUGACCCGUGCAAACCACACGCACUUCUCAAAAGCAAGACGACAACUUCAAGAUCCUGCAGAUACAGAGCUCAUGGGUUCCUUCAGGAGAUCAUCUGUUCUUUGCAGUGUCAUUCAAGGUCUGGCGGUUUGGAGUGUGGCUGCGGCUGGACAGCCGUGGUCAGUGACGAUUCCUAACCAGAUGUCCGCUCCGGUCGGGUCUUGCAUCGUCGUUCCUUGCUCCUUCACUCCCCCGAUCGCUAACGAGGCCGUUGAAGUCACUUGGUACCAGUACGUCAGUCGUGGAUACCCGCUGGUAUACAGCGAAUCCAAACCGGGGAACGUCAUAGAUAAGUUUCGUGACAGCACGGAGUUAAUUGGCAGAGCGAGAAAGGGGAACUGCAGUCUCAAAAUCAACCCGACACGAGAAACACAUAACGCUGAGAAGAUCUAUGUGUGGAUUACGCCAAAUCAGUUGGACGGCUACUUCUAUGAUCAGACGGUGACAUUAAAGGUUACAGAGAACGCGCCUCAGCCGGAGAUAAGGGUGCUGCGCAGUGACCUAACAGAGGGGGAUGUGGUGAGACUGUCCUGUGAUGUCAUCCACACCUGCCCCCCUUCCCCCCCUUCCGUCUCCUUCCGCAACCACAGGGGGGCGCUCAGUUGGAGCCACAAUAAGGAAGAGGCGGGGCGUUGGCGCAUCUCCGUGGAGACGUCCUGGAAAGUGAACUCGGUGGACCAUGGGAGGGGCGUGGUGUGUGAUGUCACACAUCCUGGGGGCCGGACAGCCAGCAGAGAGAUUGUGCUCCAUGUUACCUAUCCCCCGAAAUCUGUGAGUGUCCAUGGACCCCCAAACGCACUUCCACCUGGUGGAAGCGUGUCCCUGUCCUGCAGCAGUCAGGCCAACCCCCCUGCGACCUCCUUCCAGUGGUACUUUGUGGAUCAAGGCCAGCCCAAGCUAUUGGAGGCCACCUCUAAGGACAUGACAGCAACAAAUCUGCGCCGCGACCAGAACCUGUUCCGCUGCAAAGCCAGCAACAGCGCGGGGAGUGGCAGCUCGCCUGACUUUGAAGUCAUCCAAGAGUACCAGCCCAACAUAUCCGAGGCCUCGGGGUGCUCCUUCUAUGCUGGGGCUGUGAGCUGCUGGUGCGAGGCUACGGCCAGGCCCUCGGCCUCCCUGCAGUGGAGGGUGGACGGGGUGACCCAGGAGGCCAGCCCCGCCCAGCCCAGCACCACCAGCGUGCACACGGUGAGGGGAGAGUGGGCCGGCAAAGCCGCCACCGAGCAGGUGAGCGUCACCUGCGUCUCCAGCAACCAGCACGGCCAGAAGGAGCGCCUCCUCAGGGUGUAUGUGAAAGCGCCUCUCUCUAAUGUGAUGGUGACCCAGCACCCGUCCCGCCCCCGUGAGGGAGAGGGGGUGACCCUGUCCUGCACUGGACAGGGCUACCCACCGGCGUCGGGAUACCGCUGGUACCUGGGGCGGGACGGGCAGGAGAUCGGGCUGGCGGAGGAGUCCAGCGAGCUGUCGGUCCGUCCCGUGGCCAGAGACUCCGGACCCUAUCGAUGCACCGCCCGGAACCAGAUGGGCGAGUCCAGCUCCCCCGUCACGUCGGUCAACGUGGAGUAUGCCCCUCUUAUUCUCUGGAACUCCAGUUGCACCCUGGGUAACGGGCAGUGGAGGUGUGAGUGCAUUGUGGACUCCAGCCCCCCAGCGAAGGUCACCUGGUCCUCUGUGGGCUCCUCCACUAAUGAGAGCGGCAACACGUCGUCCACGCUCAGUGGGCGGGUCCUAAGGUCUGUCCUCACUGGACCAAUGGGAGACGGGGGCCACCGUUUCUACUGCAAUGCCACCAAUGAGCACGGAGACGACUUCUACCUGCUACCUAUCACAGUGGAGCACUUUGGAAAGUGGGGAAUUGUCCUUGGAGCAAUCGGUGGAGCUGUGCUCAUAUGUCUUCUAUUGGGAGCAUUUUUAUAUUGUAAACGCACUAAAAGGCGCCCCAAACACGCAGACCUUUCCCUAAAAGAAGUGAAAUGUGCUGGAGAGGAGGAAGUGAAGAUUGACAGUUUGUACUCAAAUAUAACAGCAUGCCCUCCUGCCCAUGCACUGCCAGAGAGCAUCUACGAGGUGGAAGACGCACCCAGGUAUCAGGAAAUGAAGAGACAACCUUCAUAUGAUGACGAUGUGUACCAAAAUGACUGAGAUCUGCAGGACAAUCACAGCUGUCGGUCAUCUGCUUCCAGAUCAAAAGCGCUUCAGUGUACUCAUAUUUUAUGCAUUCAUAUUUUACGGCCCCAUCAGAGCGGUCCUCCACACUCCCCUAUGAGGUGUCUCCCCCAGCUGUACGAAUGGCCACCACCGUCUAAGUGCAGCACUCUUAUGUACAGACCCCUCACCUGUCCAGUACUGUGUAUAUGUUACAUUGUGUUGUCUUUUAUAUUAUUUUUGAACUUCAUUUUCCUCUUUUUUUUUCAAAAUUUUCUGUAAUGUUUUUUUUUCUUUCUUUCUGAUAUGCAGUAUUUUAAUUUUUUUUUUUUGCAGUACCGUCAUUUUAUAUAUGUAAAAUUGAUUCCAAAGGGCUUGAUACAUUUAAUAUCUGUAAUGUCAAGAUAAAUAAAUAUUCAGUACUGGUUGAAGCCCAUAACUACUGGAUGCAACUCUGUUAUAAAAGGACAAGACCUGUGAUGUGUCUGUUUAUAAAAUGGCUCCCACUGAAUUCAGGUAAUUUAUUUAUAAAUUUAAUUGCAAUAAAUUUACUCACAAUGCUAUUGUGAACAACUUAAGAGAUGUAAUUCUUUUGUAGAUAUUGUAUGUUAAUUUAAAUGAAUGUCCAAGAAUAAAAUCAUGUAUGUAUUGGAUAUAGUCAUUUGAGAACUUUUGGAUGAUUAGUCACUCGAUCAACUGAGAUUCAAGAAGCAAUGGUUCCCCUUUCCGUGUUGAACUUUUUUAGGAGUGCUCGUUUUCUCUAUUGGGGUAAUCAGAGAAUCAGAAGUACAAACUUUCACUCUAAUAUGUUUGUAGAAAAGUGCAUUGCCUGAUUGCCUGUUCUCAGGUGUGUGUGUGUGUGUGUGUCUGUGUGUCUGCGUGCGUGUGUGUGUGCGUGUGUGUGUGUGUGAGUGUGUGUGUCCACAAUGUUAAAAUCAUACCCUAGAGCGUGGAGUGCAGUGGUGGUAGCUACUGUAGGUUCACUGAGCGUCCAGGUUUUAGCUGUAAUAAAGCACUUUGAUUAGCUAAAACCA